rnacentral:sRNA from 1 species
UGCAGAAAAGGCAGGAGAAGUUCCUGAGGACCCUGGGGAGCCCCUCAACGGAGCUCUGGCACGCGGGCUCCUGGGGCACCGUGUGCGACGAUGGCUGGGACCUGGCAGACGCGGAGGUCGUGUGCCGCCAGCUGGGCUGUGGUCGGGCCGUCGCCGCCCUGGGGGCCGCCGCCUUUGGCCCUGGCUCCGGGCCCGUGUGGCUGGACGAGGUGGGGUGCCGGGGCAGCGAGGCGUCCCUGUGGGGCUGCCCUUCGGAGCGGUGGGGACGCGGAGGCUGCGCGCACAAGGAGGACGCAGGCCUGCGCUGCUGGGGUGAGUGGGGGGUGGUGGGAAAUGGGUCAUGAGGCUAGCAGCGGGCGCUGGGAUGGAGUCAGUCUUGAGUGUUGCUUCUGUCGCUUCGGUGGGCAGGAGAGCUCGCCCAGGUUUUAGUGGAUUGGUUUCCACCCUGGGAUUUUUCUGGGAUAAGCUGAUUUGCUGUGGAGGCCUGUUUGGGACAUGCAUCCCCUGGGGUUUCCCCCUAAUCUUUUUUGGGAAUUCCCUUUUGUUUAUUCCAAUCCUUGUUCAUUUCGGGUAUGUGUCACCUGGGUGUUGGCAGGUUCAGUUGUUCCCAAAGCCUGCAUCUCAUUCUCUUUGCAGAAAACAGUUAACCACAGUGAUGACCUUAGCAAAAAUAGCAGCAGUGGGUAACUUUCCCCGAGCCGCUCCCAUUCUCUGUGCUCUGGUCACCUCUUGUGACUUGCCCUGGCAUCUGCCUGGGGGCCAUGUUUUACCAAGGAAGGGGGCUGUCCCUUGAAAGCAGACACCUCCAGUGGACACUAGCCAUUUUGGGGUGCUCUGCGCAGCUGAAACCAGCAGAUGCCCCCCCCAAGCACUUCCGACUCGCAGGUCCUCCAUGAGGGAGAGGGUGUGGCUGGGCCCUUGGAGCCACCCUGUCCUGCUGAGGGCGUGCAGGUUCCGCCUGGCCACCCUGCUGGCUCAAGACCUCUCCUUUGUCAGAGCCUGGCCCAGGCCCCCCGCUGCCUGCAGCUCCCAUCCGGACAUUGUGGGCGGUCAGUGUCGUCCUGCAGCUCCCAUCCGGACAUUCUGGGCGGUCAGUGUCGUCCUGGGAGCCCUUCUUGGUCUUCUCCUUCUGGGCCUUAUGGCCUUUCUGAUUCUGCCUCGAGUCACACAAGCCAUGCAGAGGGGUCUAGGAAGAUCCGAGGCAUCUCUUGGAGAAGCCAUCUAUGAUGUCAUUGGGGAAAUGCCGCUAGCAGGACUGUACGAGGAAAUCAUGGAGGCCGAGGCCGAGGCCAUGCUCCAAGAUGAGGAGGACGAGGGUGUGGUGAAGGUGGACACAGAAGCCGCAGUUUCAGGGGAGGCGUCUAACCUCCUGGAGGGACAGUCUAUACGUAUGGAGGGAGGACACAGCAGACCUGUUUCUCAGGGAUAUGACGAGGCUGCGUUUCCUCUGGAGGAGAUGAUGUUGUAAAGCACCCUGAGGAUGAGAUACACCAGCUGGCUGUCGAAAUCACAGCUCUUCAUUUUCUUGUACAAUUGUAGUGGAUUUCGUGAGAACACCUUGGAUGCCUUUCUCUUGCAAUGUCCUCCACGUCCAUAUAAAAUCCAGUCCUUCCAGGCCCUGCCUGGUUCUAACCCUCAUCCCCUUCGAGGGCCAUCUGCUGUGGACAGUUGUGCUGUGUAACCUUCAGAUUUCCCACACAUUACAGCAAUGCAAAUACACAUAGAAAUCAGUGGUUCUGUUUGUGGUUUAGAGACACAUGGUGCCAUCUUCAUCUUCCGCUCCACAGCUCGCUUCUGGCACCCAGCAGUGCGUUGCAGAGAUCCCCGUGCCAGAACCUUCCUCUUUUUUCUUAAAAACUCUUCUUAAUUGAAUCCAAAGUAUCUUUUAGAUGUUCUACUUGUGUAAUCAUGUCAUCUGUGAAUAUUCAGAUUUAUCUUCUCCCUCCAAUCCGUGUACAUUUAAUCUCUUUUUCUGUGCCUUAUUUCGGGGGCUGGGACCCUUCAGUCCAGUGUUGAAGAGAGGCAGCCAGUGGAGGUCUUGUCUCAUUCAUGGACUCCGAGCAAAUGUGUUCCACAUUUAAUUUCACUAUGAAAUAUAAUAUUUGAUGUUCGGUUUUGUAGAUGCCAUUUAUCAGAUCAAGGAAAGCCCAGUCUAUCCCUAAUUUGUUAAGGGUUUUGCUUUUUAUCAUAAGUGUUGACUUUUAUCAAAUUGUUUCUUGUAUCUAUUAAGAUGAUAGAUGAUUGAUUUUCAUAUGUUAAAUUAACCAUGGGUUAAACAAACUUACCUUUAUCAUGAUAUAUUAUUCUUUUUGUAUUUCACAGGAAUUAGUUUGGUAAUAUGUUGGGUCAAUGUUUAAAAAAGAAAAUGAUGUGUAAUUUUUUUCUUUUAUUGUAGUAUUUCUGUUUAAUUUUUGGUAUGAGGAUUAUUCACGUCUCAUAAGAGUUAGGAGUAUAUUCUCUUUUAAAAAAUAUUUGCUAAUUUACACUCCC